AACCAAAAGAAAGAAUCAGCUGGAUUCAAACUGUGGAACUUUUCAAAAGGGACAAGAGAAACUGGGAGUCAGUGAGGGGAGUGCAAAACAAUGGUUUCUUGCAUUUGCUCUUGAAGUUCCUUAAAUUAGAUACUGAGUGGAAAUGAGAGCAAUUCACUAUUAACACUAUGUUAUAGUGCUCAAGUUUUUAAACUGGCUUUUAUGAUCCUGCAAGUAUUUUCUGGGAUAAAAUAGUUUAAGUCAUUGAAUUCAUAUACUUAACAUGCCUUAAGAUUGCCCUAGACCUAGGCACAAAACAGAGAAGUUUGUCUCAUUUGUAAUUCAGACUUCCUUAUAAUAAAAAAUGUGUCUUUCUUUGCUCAUUUCCCACUGAAACGUUGUCUUUAAAACUAUUAAGCACACUAAAAGACCUCAAAGAAUGUAAAAUUAUGUAUCCAAUUUGUAUCACAAUUCAGUUAAUUUUAAAUCAUUCAAAUUAAAAGAAAAAUGAACUUUAAUCUUUUUUUCCCUGCUAAGUGGUUAAAAUACUCGACAAAUAUUAACCAAAUAAUAUUCUUUGAUUUCUAACUUCUCUCCUAAAACAACUACACGUUGUUUGCCUUGUUGAUGAGCUGAUACUGUGAACUAUUAACUAAGCUGGUUCUGUUCUCACUUGUUCACUGCCAUGACCCAUGUCCAUUCAGACAAAUAGACAUAAAUACGGUUAUCAAAGUAUCUGGAAACAAAAGCAUAUGUUCUUAGAAUUCAGAUUCAAAAGCCACGUCCCUGUAUGGGAGGUGGAAGUUUUUGGAAAAUAGUUAAGCUUUACCUUCCCAGCCAUACCUCCAGAAGAUAUCUGGGUUUCUCAUUUGUUGGCCAAAAGAAGAAAGAAGAAGAAGGGUAGCACUGAGAUUGGAGGUGAGAAGGGUUUAACUACUUAUUGUGCCAGUGGCAAUUUCUUCACAUAUGAUGGAACCAAAAGGAAGUUGGGGAGAGUAAAGAGUUGGAAGACUUAAAAGAUACAAUACAAAGACUGGAAGAUACAGUUAUAGCCUCUGAGAUAGGACCAUGAAUUCUGCCUGUUCUGUCACAUUUUGGUGUUAUUUCCAAGUGGGGAACAGUGAAAGAUUCCAGUGAUAAAUUCAGGGAUCCAGGAGUGUAGGAGGCCUUUGUCAUGUUCCCUAACCUGGAAUUCUGAGAGUUGGAAGAUGGAUGUUCUCAGUGUGCAAGGAUUAGAGCAGAGGCAGCUACGUGGAAUGGCCAGGUAAGACAGGGUCUGGGAGAGCCCCACAGUUUUCAGUCAACCCCGGUGGCUUCCUGUGAUGCAGAAGAGCAGCAUGUUCUCUGGCCCUGAAAAGCAUGAUGAGAGAAAGGGAAGAAGCAGCAAAAUGGAGAUGGCACAGGGUUGGUGGUCUACAAUGGUGGAAACAAGCGGUCAAGGGUCAGAGGCAGAAAGGGACAACAGCCAGAGGCAGAUGGGGCGAUAUAUGUUUAGGGAGACGAAAGAGAGAGCAGAAGUCCAAGGAGACACUUAUCCCUAAUCCUUAACAGCAUAUUAGUUCCUCGGGACUUUGAUGGCAUCUAAAGAAGAAGGAAAAAGAGGUCAAAAAUCCUAAAUUGAACAGCUUACUCUGAUUCAGUUAAAACAUUUGAAUCAUAUGCUUACAUUUUCUUCAAACAUGUAACAUGGGGGCUUUAGCUAGAAAAUCACAGAAAAAUAAUGGAAGUUAAAUUAUUUGUGCUCUUGGUUUGUGGCUUAAGAAAUUGGUAUGUGUUACAAAUACACUAGUUAAAUGACUUAAAUACUUAGUAUUU